CUAAAAGUGCACACACUGGGCAGUAAAAGCGAGGGGAUAUUAAAUUAUUCAACGCAUCGUUGUUUUCAACAGGCCAACCGUUGCACACAAUAACUAAUUCAUUCAGUGAGGACGUUGGAUUUCGUGGUGGGUGUGGUAGCACGCUGGUGGCUUUUUUUUGUAAAACUUGCUCGCUACUUUUCACGGAUUUACGACGCAGGGUACCGCUUUUCGGUCAGUCUAGUAAGUAAAAGCUUGGGGCAACCAGUCGUUUCCCCUCGAGUGAAAAACAAUCAACAUCCCCCUGCGCUCGCGGCGUGAUACCUCCUCGUAAAAACAACCCAGAGGUCCCGCACAUGCAGCCCGUGAGCCGCUGUAUACACACCCGCUGGUUCGGUCUUGGAGAUGAGGCUGCCAUUUCGUUGUUGACGUUUGAGGUCACGUGACUGCAGGUCUUCCAGUAAACGCAGAGGGCUCGAGACUCGCCUCUUUUUCUAUGCCUUACCAGAAACCAUGAAGUUGACUCGCUGACACUUUCGUCCCACUACAGACCGGGGAGAGCUGGACAGGAUGGUGACUCUUGCUAUUUCCACCACCAGGGUACUUGCAACUCUCCUACGGAAGUCAUAUCUGGGCAAAAUGAAAAUAUAAACUGAAUAUUUGCACAGUAUAUUAGGUUUAAUCAAUCAAUAAAUAAACUUCACUUAGUUGUUAAAGUCAACUUCAUGAUUUGUAAUGGCGUCUUAGAAUGCUUCAAAGAUCCAUUAUGCAACAUUUAGCCUUAGAAGACAUCAAACGCUCCCUCCCUCUAGCAAGCAACACGUUUUGAAUUGAGCAAACACACAAACCACAAAAUCAAAAUA